GAUUUCUGGGCUCAAGAAUUUGGCCAGCCACGGUUUCGUGUGUUAGUGCUUUGUUCUGUGUCCAUCCUUCCAAUCGCCAUUGGCUCUUCUUCAUUGAUGGGUCAGUGGUAUUGGAUCUUUUACUUUGAAAAAAUUAGAGUGUUUCAAGCAGGCUUUAUGCUAUGAAUACAUUAGCAUGGAAUAAUAAUUUAGGACUUCGGUUCUAUUUUGUUGGUUUCUAGGACUGAAGUAAUGAUUGAUAGGGAUAGUUGGGGGUGCUAGUAUUCAGCGGCCAGAGGUGAAAUUCUCGGAUUCGCUGAAGACUAACUUAUGCGAAAGCAUU
rnacentral:rRNA from 1 species